UACGGAGGGGACUAGCGUUGUUCGGAAUUACUGGGCGUAAAGCGCACGUAGACGGAUUUGUAAGUCAGGGGUGAAAUCCCGGGGCUCAACCUCGGAACUGCCUUUGAUACUGCAAAUCUCGAGUCCGGAAGAGGUGAGUGGAAUUCCUAGUGUAGAGGUGAAAUUCGUAGAUAUUAGGAAGAACACCAGUGGCGAAGGCGGCUCACUGGUCCGGUACUGACGCUGAGGUGCGAAAGCGUGGGGAGCAAACAGG
rnacentral:rRNA from 1 species